rnacentral:lncRNA from 1 species
GCCUAGGCCUAAAAAAAAGAGAGUAGAUAUUGACGAAUAAAGAGAUUGGGGGAGGGAAAAGAGGAAAAAGGCUCCGGAGGAUUUGAACUUCCCGCUCUUCGAGUUGUUGGGAAGCUCCAAGCUCUACCGAUCAAGGUGGCCAUCGGAAGGAAAUUUUCUCUUUUAUCCUCGAACAUCGGCCACAAUUUAGGUUUCUCGUGUCCGAUAUCUAUCCUUAGCGAAGCCUCUAGUGCAUCCGAAGGUGCUUAUGUGGUCUCUGGUAGGAAAUAGAAGGAGAUAAUCGCCCGAAAUCUCCCAAAUCUAUGGGGACUCCAGGAAUGAAGUAAGAGAUGCAGAAUCAUAACCAAAAGAAACAACAACAGUACGUUACGGCGGCCGGGAGGUAUCAUCAGAAUAAAGGAUACGCGUCCUACUUCCAUCCUACUCCGCCAGGUGAGUGUGAACAACCGGAAUAGCCCUAGUGAUGCAACUGCUCGGCGCUUCGACAGUAAGAGGGGGAAUUUUCGCGUCCGAGCUGGCUGCGGGACUAGAGGUACGAGCUGCCGGCCCUCCGUGGCUUGACUUGGUAGAAGGCGCAAAAAGGAGCCGCGGGACUCUGUCAUUUCUGAUCGCCUUUUGUCUCGGGGUGUCUCGUGGGCUUCCGUCCCGAGAGAGAGGGAAAGGGAGAGGGAAGAGGGAAGAGAGAAGAGGAAGGGUUAUGUAGAUGAGUUUAUAAGGGAGAAAGGAGGAGGGAAAGAGAGACAAACCCAGACAGCCAGUCACAAGACCCAAGGGACAGACAGGAAAGGAAAGGUGGGAAGGCGAGGGGUGGAGAGAGGGAAAGCGAAAGAAAACAAGUCUAUCUUUUUGCAGCGAUUCCAUCAUGCCCCUCGUCUUGUUCUGUGAUCUGGUUCUUGUAGAGAUUUCCGUAGGGAAACGGCGAAGACGGUGAUGGGAAAAUCCCCAUGAUUUUCAAAGGCACCCCCCCCUUACCAUUCUCUCCGUAUCUUUUUUCUUUUUUAUGUCCUAACAACCUCUUUUUUUUCUUUCUCUCUUGCCUCCUUUUGUGAUUUCUUUGUUAGUAAACCUUUGUGUGUGUUGUUUGCCUUUGAUUGUUAUUUUGUAUUUUUUUACCUUGUUAUUUGUAUAUUAUAUAUUUUAUAUGUAAAUUUCAUUCUCUUUGUUUCGUCUUUUUAGUCUUUGUUUCUAACUUUUUUUCUCUACGGAAGCUGUUUAUUUCGCCCUUUUGUGAUUCUUGUUCUUACUGGUGAGUUUUUCUUCUCUAACUCUUGAGUUGCGUCUGAUUCAAGUUUAUCUGCCUCGGCUCAGCUCUCUCUCUCUCUCUCUCUUCUCUC